CUGAAGGCGGCGGACCGGCACCAGCAGGCACCAGCGGCACCAGCGGGCUCCGCCGGCCAGCGCAGGGCACGCCGGACACGCAUGGCUCUGCUGACCAGCCUCGGCUGACGCGCUACCAGCAUGCGUUGACCGGCGUCGCAGCGAGAGCGAUCGGACGUUCAAGGCGAACGGUGGGGAGGGCUGCAAACUCACCAGGUUUCAAAACGCCGCCAUCAUUCUUUACACUUUCCAUUGGUCUAUACUGAGAAAUGGCUCAGACCAGCCGUCCAACGGCGACAAGGCGAUGGGAGAGACGAAAACCGUGCGCCCGAUGAGCACGUCGGGCCGCUCGACGGCCGCCUCGGCGGAGGUGAGCUCGCUGUCUGCGGCCGACGGCGGCGGACGCGCGCCCGACUCGCCGGCCACCUCGUCCGACACGGUGGAACUCGACGAGCGCUCCGGCGAGCUGGUGCAGGUGACGCUCGGCCACGCCGGCGGCGUGCUGUUCGGGCCGCCGUCGGCAGGCGCGC